rnacentral:rRNA from 1 species
UACGAAGGGGGCUAGCGUUGCUCGGAAUCACUGGGCGUAAAGGGUGCGUAGGCGGGUUUUUAAGUCAGAGGUGAAAUCCUGGAGCUCAACUCCAGAACUGCCUUUGAUACUGAAAGUCUUGAGUAUGGGAGAGGUGAGUGGAACUGCGAGUGUAGAGGUGAAAAUUCGUAGAUAUUCGCAAGAACACCAGUGGCGAAGGCGGCUCACUGGCCCGAUACUGACGCUGAGGCACGAAAAGCGUGGGGGAGCAAACAGG